UACGUAGGGUGCGAGCGUUAAUCGGAAUUACUGGGCGUAAAGCGUGCGUAGGCGGUUCGUUAAGUUCGUUGUGAAAUCCCCGGGCUUAACCUGGGAACUGCAUUUGUGACUGCAUGGCUGGAGUGCGGCAGAGGGGGAUGGAAUUCCGCGUGUAGCAGUGAAAUGCGUAGAUAUGCGGAGGAACACCGAUGGCGAAGGCAAUCCCCUGGGCCUGCACUGACGCUCAUGCACGAAAGCGUGGGGAGCAAACAGG
rnacentral:rRNA from 1 species